rnacentral:snRNA from 1 species
AUGCUGGCACAUAUACUAAAAUUGGAAUGAUGCAGAGAUUAGCAUGGCCACUGCCCAAGGAUAACAUGCAAAUUCGUGAAGUGUUCCAUAUCUUU